UUACAAAGCACGGCACUGAAGAUGCCAAGAUGGGUAAAUACCUACCCCAAAAACA
rnacentral:tRNA from 1 species